AGCGGGAGCUCAGGAUCCUGGGGUGUGUCCCCCAGCGCCCUGGGCUCUGGGGCUUGCGCUGCUGGAAUCAUGCUCCUGGGGCCGCGCAGCCCCCU
rnacentral:pre_miRNA from 1 species